rnacentral:rRNA from 1 species
UACGUAGGGUGCAAGCGUUAAUCGGAAUUACUGGGCGUAAAGCGUGCGCAGGCGGCUUUGCAAGACAGAUGUGAAAUCCCCGGGCUUAACCUGGGAACUGCAUUUGUGACUGCAUGGCUGGAGUGCGGCAGAGGGGGAUGGAAUUCCGCGUGUAGCAGUGAAAUGCGUAGAUAUGCGGAGGAACACCGGUGGCGAAGGCGGAUCUCUGGGCCUUACCUGACGCUGAGGCGCGAAAGCUAGGGGAGCGAACAGG